GACAGAGGGGGCUAGCGUUGCUCGGAAUCACUGGGCGUAAAGGGUGCGUAGGCGGGUCUUUAAGUCAGGGGUGAAAUCCUGGAGCUCAACUCCAGAACUGCCUUUGAUACUGAAGAUCUUGAGUUCGGGAGAGGUGAGUGGAACUGCGAGUGUAGAGGUGAAAUUCGUAGAUAUUCGCAAGAACACCAGUGGCGAAGGCGGCUCACUGGCCCGAUACUGACGCUGAGGUGCGAAAGCGUGGGGAGCAAACAGG
rnacentral:rRNA from 1 species